ACUUGCUGAUGUCUGAUUGGUUUGUUACAUUGGGAGAAGAGCCAUGAGUAGAUUUUAGAAAUAUUCUUAAUGUGGCUUGACUUCAAGCUUUAUCAAUGCAUUUAAUGCAAAAAACAUACCUAGUUCUUAGAGUUGAUUGUUUAAUUGUCAUUGAUCCUUCUAUUUUUAUUCCUUGAAAAAUUUGCAGCCAUUUUUCAAUCUCAAAUAGAAAUGUUAAAUUGUCUGUGACUCAUUUAUUGCGCAUUCAGAGUUUCAAUUACUCAAGCUGUAAUCUCAAGUUGUUUGGCUUGAGAAUGAGCAAGAUGUGGGUGUCUCCAACCUGGUCUUAUUAAUGCUUGCUUUCAACCUGUUUUAUGCUGCAUGUUGUAGCAAAACACCCUUUAUUUUGUUGUUAUUUUUCUCAUUUGAGGACUUUCUCCCAUCGGUGUGAUCUUAGAUUGUUUUAAAAUUAGAAGAAAAGAUUUAUUUUGACAAUAAUUAUCAUGGUUUUGGGUUGUAGUAACUAUGAUUGUUUUUGGUGCGUAUUCUUGGAGAUGUAACUUCUUGAUGCACUAAGGCAGUUAUACUAUUGAUUUAGUUCUCUGUUGUGCUGGUCAGUCACUUUACUCAUGCCAAGUGAAGCAUCACUGUAUUGCUAAACGUUUGCUGGUUUUGCUAUGCCAAAUUCUUUUUCCUUAUUUUUCCUUUCUAUCUUCUUCUUUUUGUUGCAUGCACUUGCAUGCCUGGGUGUGCAGUGGUGACAGGCUCUAUUCUUUUUUCU
rnacentral:misc_RNA from 1 species